GACGAACGCUGGCGGCGUGCUUAACACAUGCAAGUCGAACGGAAAGGCCCUGCUUUUGUGGGGUGCUCGAGUGGCGAACGGGUGUGUAACACGUGAGUAACCUUCCCUUGACUUUGGGAUAACUUCAGGAAACUGGGGCUAAUACCGGCUAGGAGCUCCUGCUGCAUGGUGGGGGUUGGAAAGUUUCGGCGGUUGGGGAUGGACUCGCGGCUUAUCAGCUUGUUGGUGGGGUAGUGGCUUACCAAGGCUUUGACGGGUAGCCGGCCUGAGAGGGUGACCGGCCACAUUGGUACUGAGAUACGGCCCAGACUCCUACGGGAGGCAGCAGUGGGGAAUAUUGCACAAUGGGCGGAAGCCUGAUGCAGCAACGCCGCGUGCGGGAUGACGGCCUUCGGGUUGUAAACCGCUUUCGCCUGUUACGAAGCGUGAGUGACGGUAAUGGGUAAAGAAGCACCGGCUAACUACGUG
rnacentral:rRNA from 1 species